UGCCCAGCAACUCCUAUCCCUACCUCCUCGUGGUACUGGCCGGGGUACGAGUAACCAUGGAGAAGAUCGGGUUACCAACCCCGGUGGGAACCUUGGUCGUAUGCUGACAGGUAAGG
rnacentral:ribozyme from 1 species